AAUAAUAAUAAUUUCUCGUUCGAGUAUCUAUCAUCCAAUUUAUUCUUCUAUUUAGAGAUUGCAAUUACAUUUCUAUAUCGUUUAAAAAUUUCUCUCUCGAACCGCUCCCCCCAAGGAAUAAUUUCCCUUCGUUCCCGCUUUUUUUCCAACCCCGCAAAUAAAUCUGCCUCGACUAGCGACACGAUUUCCCGAAUCCCAACGGCCCUCCUGGAAGCAUUACAUCUUACAUCACGACCGAAGGAGAACGGAACCAUGGUCCCAGGACAAGGAGGUGGAAGUUUGAGCGGUCUAAUUUCUCGAUAGUCGAUGGCUGCGCCCUUUCCAACACGACUUUCGACCCUUCCAACUUUUCUCUUCCGUCAUUACAUCAUUCUGAGCAUCGCAUCCUCGCUAAAAAAAGAUCUAUCGAUUAUGUUUUGGAGUUGAAAAUAAUCGCGUGAAUAUUUCACGAAUAUUAUGUUUGAAUUCUCGAGGACAAUCGAUAAUAAUUUCAAUAAACAGGCGUAUUUCGCUCGAACGAUAUUUAUAAACAUUUUCCUCGGCCAAUUCGUGGAACACUUUCUCGUUCGCAAAAUGUCAACAUUCGCCGGCGACGUAGUUUAUAAAUCUCCUCAGUCGAGGAGUUUCGUUCGACGAGUAAAGUAAAUACUAGCAAGCGUCUUUUAAUUAAUUUAUUAAUCGUUAAGAAAAUAGAAUAAUCGUUAAAAUAAUCGAAUUAUUUUUAUAUAUUUUACAAGUUAGUACAAUUCGGUAGUGUAAUUUUGGUGUGCAGUGUUAAAAUCCAUACUCUAAAAGAAUAUUUCAAUUCAACGAACUCUCAACAUUCUUCAAGCCUUCGCAAUAUUCGUCGUCACGGCGAAAGAAAGGGACAUAGCGAUAUCAAAACAAAGAAAUUGAGGAAAAACCUAAGAAUUCUGAAUCAAUUCUCCAAUAAAUUCUUCGACAAAUCGAAGAAAUCUUCGUAUCGGAUCGAAAAAUCGGAAGGAAGAGAUGCUGUCUCGAGGAAAACUAGAUGCGACUGACGCAUAAGAGGGGGCGGAAAACAAUAAUGGGGGGCGAAGGUUUAAACAAAAUAGCCGUUGUCCGCGGAAAGGAUAAUUGGAACGUUUCGAGCGAGCACCUCGAGGGAACGAUCGAGAAGCAAUUGUUUCGUCCGUUUUCGCGCGUGCACACCUGCCGUUCUUUGAUUCGUUCACUCGAUGGGACGAGUUAAAGCGAUUAGGGAAGGGCCCUUUGUUUCCACGCGAACGUUUGGUAAAUUUACAUCGGUUAACUGGUGAUAGAUAAAGCGGAUCGAUUCGUGGUCGAAUUGAAAAAACGUCACGCGGGAUCGGUCGUUAAGGUAACUCGUUCACCUCGUUACCAUGGAUUUGCCGCUCUUUGCAUCUACGUGGAUUAUCAUACCUGAUCGUGAUUCCCCUCUUCUCUCUUGAUAUCAUCUCUUGUUAUUAGCGAGUGGAUUUAUAAAUCGGACAUUUAUUCGUCUGGGACAAUGUACGAAUGUAAAAAGUUAUUUUUUUAUCUCGUGCGGUGUAGAUAAAGUGAUAAAGUGAAUCGAGAAGAGGAAAAGGAAAAUUGAUAGAUUGUGAAUAGUGAUCGAGAGUGUGUUUUUUUUUUUGUUUUAGGGAAAUGAACGUUCCAAAGAUUUUAUCGAGGAUUUAUCAAAUUGUACAUCGAAUUGUUACUAUUAAAUUUUAAAUAAGAUAUUUUUGUAAAUCGAGAAAGAAAUUGAAUUAAAUUAGCCAUGUUACAAAGAUUAUUCACUGUUCGGCUAAUGAAUAUUUUUUAUUCAUCAAUAACACACUCGAGAUCAAAAAUAAACUUCUCGGUGAUAAAUUAUUUUCCUGUAUUCUUAAAUUCUCGUGCCUGUUUGCCUUUCUUCGAUCGGAUGUCAGCUUCGUUUCAAUAAAUCAUCCUUUUCGAGAACUCAAAGGCUCGACAAGGCUUGACUUUUGCUCGACGAUUUGCUCGAGGUCAAGAACGUCAUUCGUAAAAUUAACAUUUACUUAAAAAAAAAAAAAAAAAAGAAAGAAAGAAAGAAAAAAGGGGAGAGAGAGGAAGAGAGAGAGAGAGGGAGAGAGAGAAGAGGAAAAAGAGAAAAAUGAAUCGAUGAAGUGACCGCUAUUUGCCUUUCAGAUUAAUGGAGAUUGCGCGAACGUUAUCAAAGCACCGAACCAGCUUUCACUGUCGAACGUGGUAAAUUUAUAACGGAUCACAGGAAAUUCCUUUUAAGCCUCCAACCUCGGAGAGAUCGUUUAAGAAUCUCGCGCCGGAUUUCGCGCCGGUGGAAUAGUUAAACACCUCGUUUUGCGUUAUCUUUUUGAAAUCCAUCGCCACGUAAAUCGAUAAUCGUUUUAUUUUAUUAAAUUGCUUGCUUUUAUCUCGAAUCGUUCGAGAGUCUACUCUAUCCAUUUGCUAUCCAGAGUAAAAUGAAAUUUAAAGGGAAUGAAAGGGAGUCGGACGAAAGACGAUCGCGAAAAAGAUUGAAAAGAGAAUAACGAAGAUCUUUGAUUGAAGAAGAAAUCGAGAUAACUUUUGUGUAAUAGAAAAAAAGAAAAGGAAGAAGAAAAAGGAAGAUAGAAAUUUGAAUUUUUUCUAUCGUUUAACUUCUAUGCAAAUUCAUUCAGAGGAUGAAAGUUGAGUGAGAAAUUUUUCUUUUUUUACCAAUUAAAUGUUACACAGUAUUUUAAUCGAUCACACGGACGACCAUUACGUGCUUCUUAAUCAAUAAUAACUUUUACAACGAUUCGUAUUUGAAAAGUUCUUUAUUUUUCGAAAUGUUAACGAACACUUUUUCAUUUUUUUUAAUGAAACUUUAUGAACGCGUACAGCAUAAUGGGUUAUACAUGAAGCAAUUUUCUUUCUCCGAAAAUAUCACUUUAAAGAGGUGAAAUCAACGCUCAAAGUUUCACUAUGAUUUUCGCUUUUUAAAUAUAACUUUGUAAUGAAGCGAGAUAGAGCGAAAUUUUAAAUUACGAAAUGUCCAUAAUUUAGCGUUCUAACGCUAAAGAAAUACCGAAACUUCGAUUUCACGUCCUCGGGAAAAUUUCCAGUAGAAAAAGAACAAAAAAAAAAAAAGUUACGUUCUACAUAUUUUAUUAAAAAAUUUUUAGGUUAGAUAAAUUUCUCUCCGCUUUCGCCGCGUUACGUAACAUCAUUUAAAAUAACGACAAGUUUUUCCAAAUUAAAUUUUCAACAUCGAUAUCAAAGAUUUCGAGAUCAAACAACUUGAUAAAAUUGAACGCCGAUAUAAAGGAACGGAACCGAUCCAGUGCCAUCGGUAAACAAAUCCGGAAGAAAAUUCCUCGAUCCUCUUACGAAUUGCGCCUCUUACCUUAAUUUCCCGACCAUAUUUACCUCGUUUACCAUUAAAAAUCGGUAAAGAGAGAAAAGAAAAAGAAAAGAAACCUUCGACAAACUAACUGCAAUUUCGAGGCCGAUCCUACAUUCUUAUUUAACAUUCCACUCUCGCAUCCUCUCGGCCAAGAAUAAAUUAGUCGCUCGAGAUUGCCCCGUUCGAAUCUCCGCGCGCAAAAUUCGAUUUAAUUACUGGCGGCCAGACCCCGCGAGUUCGUCAUUAAUUACCGGGGGGAGGGGAGGGGGGCGAUCGUUAAGUAACGCGAGUCCUCUGGCUGUCGGGGAAUAAAAAAGGGGCGGCGGCCAAAUGGUGCCAUAAAGCGGGGCGCUCCGUUUUAACGAAUAGCGCGGUGCAACGCCGUUCAAUUUUUACGAUCGCCGCGAAAAAUCGGUCACGGAAACGAAUCGCCGCGUACGCGAUUUUGUAAAUAAUCAACCCGGCUAAUGCGUUUUAUUGUUGGGUCGCGGCGAGACCCAACCCCCCCUUUUGCCGAUACCUUCUCGCUUUUAAAAUAUGCGCGCCGCGUAUAUGCGUAAAUCGUUUUUAUCGAUUCGAGGAAAUAAUCGUCGAUAUCUUCGUCGUUUGAAAUUAUCCGUUGUUGCUUAUUUCCAGUUUUGGGUUGAAUAUUCAAUUAUUGGAUCGAGUUCCAGAAGAAAAAGAAAUUGUUCGAUAUGGGAUUUAUGUGUAAUAAUAAUAUCAUUUUUUUCAGUUUUUUCUUUCGAGCUAAAACUCUGGAUAUGGAUGCACAUGUUUUUGGAUCGUGAUAUACGAAGGGAUUUCUCGAUAAUUUUUAAUAAUUUUGUACGAGGUUUGGCAAGUUUCAAAGUUUCGUAAGUAAUUGAAUCCAAGAUAAUUGAAGAUAUAUGAUUAAAUCACACCUAAGACGAAGACAUUCCUUAAUCGUCGCUUAUUUUACCCUAAACCGUGAAAUCAAAAAGCGGAGAGGAAGGAAAAAUUCAAGAAUUCCACGCGAAAAUAUCGAGGAAGAUCAUUACGAAGGAAAAUCAACCACAUGGACGCACACCCAGCUGUCAUCGACUCCAACGUUUCUUUGGCCAGUCGCGAGAGCAUAUGGCGAUUGAGAAAGAGAGAGAAAGAAAGGAGGAAUUAUCAGAGACACAGCGAGGACGCGGCCGAGACGAGCGAACAAGAUGAUCGGGGAUGAAAAAGGUGCUGCGAGGCGUCGGUGGUUUUGUUGGUGCAAGAAAGGAGAACCCCCGCUGAGAAUCGCGCUCAAAGAAACCGACUGUGUCGGCCUUUCCUGCCCUCCCCCCUCUUCGUCUGGCCAGCUGUCCAUAAAUCUUCGGCCCUAAACAAAAGCAGGAAAAAAAUGAAGGGCAUCAAUUAAAGGCGGCGACUCGGGCCUGGCUGAUGACGCUUGAAAAUUCGCCGAGCAGAGCGUAGUGCACCCCUUUGGCGCCUCGCGGGCAUAACACCGAUCGUUAGAGAAUGACGCGCACGUGUCUUCAACAUGUUUCACCCACCGGAUCAUUGCAAAGUGAGUAAGUUGUAAGAAAGAAAAAAAGAAAGACAUCGAAUUUAUCAAAAAUUUGAAAGAAAUGAUGAUUUCUAAAGAUGAGAGCGAAGAGUUUGUCAGGAAUUAUGAGGAAAUUUGAAGAAGGUGCGGAGAUUUGAAGAAGGGGGAAGGGGAAUCGUGACACGGCCAUCUUCGCUUUAAAAAGUGGAAUUCAUUACACCGGUAAUUGAAAAUCGCUAUAAACGUGAUCGACCAACUUUCCAACGAAACGCAGCACGGAAUCGAGAGCUUUAUCCUCUAUUAAAAUCCUUUCGAAAAUUAAACGAAUAUGGCAAUGAUCUCGUAUCAGUUUCACUUUAUACAAAGAUUUCAUAAGGUUUUCGUACAAACAAAAGAGACAGAGAGUAAGAUAAUUCAUCUCGGUUGAAAAUGACUUCAACGUAAUGAUUCUCGUCGGCUUCAUCAACCGGGUUACUUGGAACGAGUAUCGACUGACGCGGGUCGGGUUUUGAAAAGAGGAGAAAAAGAAUCGCCCGUCCGUUCACGUUUAAAAAUAUUGACUCGUUUUUUAACGGAAGUUGAAAGGAAGUUGAAACGAAAGUUGCCAUUGAAAUACGAUCCCAUUGUGCUGUCGCGAUCCGCGGAUGCUCCCUAGCGCAGGCGGUCUCGUUUCGUUCGUUCGGAAGAAAAGGGCACCGCGAAAAUAUCCUUCUUCGGCCGGUCUCGCGAAGAAAUGAUCGAGCAUUAACCACGGAGUUCACCCUCCUCUCUUUGUUCCUUCAAUUUGAUUUAAUUCAAGGGAUGAUAUCAAGCUUGUACGAAGAUGGUACACGUGUAUGGAAAUAUAUCUUACGAUGCAAGAAAAUAAAUAAUAUAUUGAAGAAAAGUAUGUAAGUAUGAGCAAGUAUUUUUCUAUUUUUCUAUUGCAUUAUGUAGAACAGAAUUAAUUAUACAAUAAAUUUUCAGAUAUUUUAUAAUAUGUGCAUCUUGUCUUCAGAUAAAUUGAGACCGUCCGUCCAAGAAUUCUUGGAGUUCAAAAAUUUUGUCUAAAAAAUUAUUCAACAUCUCCUAUCUAAUAGUUUUUUCUUUUUCAUUCUGUGAAUAAUUAAUAAACGAUUGGCGAGGAAGCUUUGAGAGUGUGAGAAGAUGUAUGCCUCGAAUAGAUCCAGAUUGCUGAUGAAGGGUUAAUCUUCGCUGAUGCAACACGAUCCGUCCAUUGGUCGAAAAAUUCCUGACGAAUUCUCUCCUCUUGUUUUCGAUCCGAUCUAAUCAGAUGGUAAUAGCACCUGCGAAGCCAAGAGUCCAACCACCUGGACUCGAUCUACCGCGUGCGAUGAUUAAUAAUUGGUGUCUGGCGAGGAUAGGGAUGGAAUCGCGUGCGCCUAAUUCGUAGGCGGGAGUUUCUUUUUUUUUUUGAGUUAUUGGCCUUUGUGCCCUUUUGCCCAUCGGAAUGGGGACACUCGAUCAAACGUGGUAAUACAAACGGAGAUCGUUCCGUUCGCCGCGCUUGAAAACGGCGUGGAAGUGGAAAAAUGAAGCAGUUUCUCUUUACUGAUGUCGGCAAGAAAAGAGGAAACGCGAGGAGAAAAAUCGGGGACACGAGCGCAAGGAGUUGGACAUCGCCGACAGGAAAAUCCACUAGGCAUAGGUUGGCGAAUUGGGAAAACAUGUCACCCCAUAAGCCCAAUCUUAUUUCACUCGUGCUCUCUGUCUCGGUCGGGAGCAGCCGCGCCUGUAAACAUCCGACAGAGACAAAGGAGGAACUAAAACGUGCCGGAACGAUUCCGUUUUAACGGUGAAUUUAUAGCGGCGCGUGAUUUUCGCCCCGAGAAGAUUUCCACGGGCCACCUCUCCUUUUUCUUCCUUCGAAUCCGCAACCGUGAAAAUACUUCUUCCCUUCGAUAACGCGGAAACGAGAAUCGGAAUCGAGAUCGCGAUGGUAUUCCGGUGAGUACGCGCAUUAUAAAGAAAUAACGUAAUUCUUCACCAUUCUCCAAAGGGACAAAUUUUCCAG
rnacentral:lncRNA from 1 species